rnacentral:lncRNA from 1 species
GGGGGGUUGGGGAGGCCCAAAUGUUCUGGAAUGCUAUACUGGCUUAAAGGUGGGGAAAAAAUAACCCCACCUUUAUGGCUCUGAGACUUGACAGAUCCUCUUCUGGAGUGGACACGAGUCUGCUCUCUACAGAAAUGCAGAUGUUGCAUGUCCAGCCAACCUUGUGCCCGCCCAAACUGUCGGGGAUCAUGCUUCCCUAGCCAAUUCAAGGCACCAGCCCGAGCUUGUCCACAGUGCUGGGGAACAGCACUCUGUCUCAUAAGGAAGGCUCCAGGGGGUCCUUCUCUUCUGUCCUUCUCACUUGUCCUGGAGAAUGGACUCCACCUUUCCCCUUCAGAGGUUUUGGUUUGGUUUCCCAUGUAGAGAGUGGGGAGAGCAGCUCAGCAUGGAGACGUUGUAUUAGGGUACGGCAGGCCAGGUCUUCAGAGUCGUCAUCCUGCAUCGGAAAAAGAAGGUGUUAAGUCAAGUAAAAAUGAUAUCUUCUUUCUCAGAGCCCUGGAAUGAGCAGUAAUCACAGGGUCAGGGUUCUAGUGUCCCUUCUACCCCUGCAUAGUGUGUGACCUUGGACAAUUCACUUAGCACCCUCAACUUCAAUGUACCCAUCUGUAAAAUGGAAAUGAUAACACUUGCCUUUUCUAUCCCACAGUGACACGGGGAGGGGCCCAAAGUACAAUGUUACAUAAACAGUCGACUGCA